rnacentral:SRP_RNA from 1 species
GAUGGGCACUUCAUCGCGCUUGGCAACACCGAGGAGUAC